AAUGCAGCACGCAUGUUGGGCAGGUGGUUGAGGAUGGAUUUUGGAGUACUUGCUUGGAACUAGAUUUUUCAAGAAAAGUCAGAAUUUCAUGUACGUAACAUGUGACUGAGGUAUAUGGUAAAUAUUAAAAUUCUGA
rnacentral:lncRNA from 1 species